UACAGAGGGUGCGAGCGUUAAUCGGAAUUACUGGGCGUAAAGCGCACGUAGGUGGCGACGUAAGUCGGGUGUGAAAGCCCCCGGCUCAACUGGGGAGGGUCACGCGAUACUGAUCGACUCGAAGGCAGGAGAGGGUAGUGGAAUUCCCGGUGUAGUGGUGAAAUGCGUAGAUAUCGGGAGGAACACCAGUGGCGAAGGCGACUACCUGGCCUGUUCUUGACGCUGAGGCGCGAAAGCUAGGGGAGCAAACGGGG
rnacentral:rRNA from 1 species